CACAAGUCUGUAGCAGCCUGAACAACUCUUUUCUGUAUUUGAGAGCAGCGAAAGCAGCAGGCGGUUAACAGAUAAAAUCACUAGAGGAAAACACAACAGCAGAGAGACACAAGGAGACAGGAGAGAUGGAGAAAAAAACGAGUGUGAAUCCCGUGGCGCAGGAAAAAGUGGGCAAAUUAAAGGGAGAGGAAGACGGUUCAGUUCCCUCCUGUUUUUUAAUGUCUGGAGCAAGAUACAAGGCAGAUAAGGAGACCGACGCUGUGUUACGUGCACGGUGCAGACAUAUGGAGUUGAUCACUGCGCCUGUUGCUGAUGUUUUCUUUGGGAAUGCUGACAAGUUGACAGGCGAGGCGCAGCACUGACAUAGAGCCUCACUUCACUGUCCGGAUGAGAGAGACAGAGAAAUACUAGGAGAGAG